CGGACGGGUGAGUAACGCGUGGGUAACCUGCCUCAUACAGGGGGAUAACAGUUAGAAAUGGCUGCUAAUACCGCAUAAGACCACAGCACCGCAUGGUGCAGGGGUAAAAACUCCGGUGGUAUGAGAUGGACCCGCGUCUGAUUAGCUGGUUGGUGGGGUAACGGCCUACCAAGGCGACGAUCAGUAGCCGACCUGAGAGGGUGACCGGCCACAUUGGGACUGAGACACGGCCCAA
rnacentral:rRNA from 1 species